GAGUUUGAUCCUGGCUCAGAUUGAACGCUGGCGGCAUGCCUUACACAUGCAAGUCGAACGGCAGCACGGGGGCAACCCUGGUGGCGAGUGGCGAACGGGUGAGUAAUACAUCGGAACGUGUCCUGUAGUGGGGGAUAGCCCGGCGAAAGCCGGAUUAAUACCGCAUACGAUCUGUGGAUGAAAGCGGGGGCUCCUUCGGGACCUCGCGCUACAGGGGCGGCCGAUGGCAGAUUAGCUAGUUGGUGGGGUAAAGGCCUACCAAGGCGACGAUCUGUAGCUGGUCUGAGAGGACGACCAGCCACACUGGGACUGAGACACGGCCCAGACUCCUACGGGAGGCAGCAGUGGGGAAUUUUGGACAAUGGGGGAAACCCUGAUCCAGCAAUGCCGCGUGUGUGAAGAAGGCCUUCGGGUUGUAAAGCACUUUUGUCCGGAAAGAAAACUUCCUGGUUAAUACCUGGGGAGGAUGACGGUACCGGAAGAAUAAGCACCGGCUAACUACGUGCCAGCAGCCGCGGUAAUACG
rnacentral:rRNA from 1 species